rnacentral:rRNA from 1 species
AACGAACGCUGGCGGCAUGCCUAACACAUGCAAGUCGAACGAGACCUUCGGGUCUAGUGGCGCACGGGUGCGUAACGCGUGGGAACCUGCCCUUAGGUUCGGAAUAACUCCCCGAAAGGGGUGCUAAUACCGGAUAAUGUCUUCGGACCAAAGAUUUAUCGCCUUUGGAUGGGCCCGCGUUGGAUUAGCUAGUUGGUAGGGUAAAAGCCUACCAAGGCGACGAUCCAUAGCUGGUCUGAGAGGAUGAUCAGCCGCACUGGGACUGAGACACGGCCCAGACUGCUACGGGAGGCAGCAGUAGGGAAUAUUGGACGAUGAGCGAAAGCCUGAUCCAGCAAUGCCGCGUGAGUGAUGAAGGCCUUAGGGUUGUAAAGCUCUUUUACCCGAGAUGAUAAUGACAGUACCGGGAGAAUAAGCUCCGGCUAACUCCGUG